GAUGAAGAACGCAGCGAAAUGCGAUAACUAAUGUGAAUUGCAGAAUUCAGUGAAUCAUCGAGUCUUUGAACGCACAUUGCGCCCCCUGGUAUUCCGGGGGGCAUGCCUGUCCGAGCGUCAUUGCUACCCUCAAGCACGGCUUGUGUGUUGGGCUCCGUCCCCCCGGGGACGGGCCCGAAAGGCAGCGGCGGCACCGAGUCCGGUCCUCGAGCGUAUGGGGCUUUGUCACCCGCUCUGUAGGCCCGGCCGGCGCCAGCCGACAACCCAUCAUCCUUUUCAGGUUGACCUCGGAUCAGGUAGGGAUACCCGCUGAACUUAAGCAUAUCAAUAAGCGGAGGA
rnacentral:misc_RNA from 1 species